AUUGAACGCUGGCGGCAGGCCUAACACAUGCAAGUCGAGCGGAUGAAGGGAGCUUGCUCCUGGAUUCAGCGGCGGACGGGUGAGUAAUGCCUAGGAAUCUGCCUGGUAGUGGGGGAUAACGUCCGGAAACGGGCGCUAAUACCGCAUACGUCCUGAGGGAGAAAGUGGGGGAUCUUCGGACCUCACGCUAUCAGAUGAGCCUAGGUCGGAUUAGCUAGUUGGUGGGGUAAAGGCCUACCAAGGCGACGAUCCGUAACUGGUCUGAGAGGAUGAUCAGUCACACUGGCACUGAGAAAGGGUCCAGACUCCUACGGGAGGCAGCAGUGGGGAAUAUUGGACAAUGGGGCAAAGCCUGAUCCAGCCAUGCCGCGUGUGUGAAGAAGGUCUUCGGCUUGUAAAGCACUUUAAGUUGGGAGGAAGGGAAGUAAGUUAAUACCUUGCUGUUUUGACGUUACCAACAGAAUAAGCACCGGCUAACUUCGUG
rnacentral:rRNA from 1 species